AGAGUUUGAUCCUGGCUCAGGAUGAACGCUGGCGGCGUGCUUAACACAUGCAAGUCGAACGAACCUUCGGGUUAGUGGCGGACGGGUGAGUAACGCGUGAGAAUCUGCCCUCAGGAGGGGGAUAACGGCUGGAAACGGCCGCUAAUACCCCAUAUGCCGAGAGGUGAAAUGAAUUUCGCCUGAGGAUGAGCUUGCGUCUGAUUAGCUAGUUGGUGGGGUAAGAGCCUACCAAGGCUUCGAUCAGUAGCUGGUCUGAGAGGAUGAUCAGCCACACUGGGACUGAGACACGGCCCAGACUCCUACGGGAGGCAGCAGUGGGGAAUUUUCCGCAAUGGGCGAAAGCCUGACGGAGCAACGCCGCGUGAGGGAUGAAGGCCUCUGGGCUGUAAACCUCUUUUCUCAAGGAAGAAGAUCUGACGGUACUUGAGGAAUAAGCCACGGCUAAUUCCGUGCCAGCAGCCGCGGUAAUACGGGAGUGGCAAGCGUUAUCCGGAAUUAUUGGGCGUAAAGCGUCCGCAGGCGGCCUUGAAAGUCUGCUGUUAAAGCGUGGAGCUUAACUCCAUUUCAGCAGUGGAAACUACAAGGCUAGAGUGUGGUAGGGGCAGAGGGAAUUCCCGGUGUAGCGGUGAAAUGCGUAGAUAUCGGGAAGAACACCAGUGGCGAAGGCGCUCUGCUGGGCCAUAACUGACGCUCAUGGACGAAAGCCAGGGGAGCGAAAGGGAUUAGAUACCCCUGUAGUCCUGGCCGUAAACGAUGAACACUAGGUGUCGGGGGAAUCGACCCCUCCGGUGUCGUAGCCAACGCGUUAAGUGUUCCGCCUGGGGAGUACGCACGCAAGUGUGAAACUCAAAGGAAUUGACGGGGGCCCGCACAAGCGGUGGAGUAUGUGGUUUAAUUCGAUGCAACGCUAAGAACCUUACCAGGGUUUGACAUCCUGCGAAUCCCUUGGAAACGAGGGAGUGCCUUCGGGAGCGCAGUGACAGUUGGUGCAUGGCUGUCGUCAGCUCGUGUCGUGAGAUGUUGGGUUAAGUCCCGCAACGAGCGCAACCCACGUCUUUAGUUGCCAGCAUUGAGUUGGGCACUCUAGAGAGACCGCCGGUGAUAAACCGGAGGAAGGUGUGGAUGACGUCAAGUCAUCAUGCCCCUUACAUCCUGGGCUACACACGUACUACAAUGCUACGGACAAAGGGCAGCAAACUCGCGAGAGCUAGCAAAUCCCAUAAACCGUGGCUCAGUUCAGAUCGUAGGCUGCAACUCGCCUACGUGAAGGAGGAAUCGCUAGUAAUCGCAGGUCAGCAUACUGCGGUGAAUACGUUCCCGGGCCUUGUACACACCGCCCGUCACACCAUGGAAGUUGGCCACGCCCGAAGUCGUUACUCCAACCCGCAAGGGAGGAGGAUGCCGAAGGUGUGGCUGAUGACUGGGGUGAAGUCGGAACAAGGUA
rnacentral:rRNA from 1 species